rnacentral:rRNA from 1 species
UACGUAGGGUGCAAGCGUUAAUCGGAAUUACUGGGCGUAAAGCGUGCGUAGGCGGUUUGUUAAGUCUGCUGUGAAAUCCCCGGGCUCAACCUGGGAAUGGCAGUGGAUACUGGCAAGCUAGAGUGUGUCAGAGGAUGGUGGAAUUCCCGGUGUAGCGGUGAAAUGCGUAGAGAUCGGGAGGAACAUCAGUGGCGAAGGCGGCCAUCUGGGACAACACUGACGCUGAGGCACGAAAGCGUGGGGAGCAAACAGG